rnacentral:rRNA from 1 species
GACGAACGCUGGCGGCGUGCCUAAUACAUGCAAGUAGAACGCUGAAGAGAGGAGCUUGCUCUUCUUGGAUGAGUUGCGAACGGGUGAGUAACGCGUAGGUAACCUGCCUGGUAGCGGGGGAUAACUAUUGGAAACGAUAGCUAAUACCGCAUAAAAUGGAUUAUCGCAUGAUAAUCCAUUGAAAGGUGCAAAUGCAUCACUACCAGAUGGACCUGCGUUGUAUUAGCUAGUUGGUGGGGUAACGGCUCACCAAGGCGACGAUACAUAGCCGACCUGAGAGGGUGCUCGGCCACACUGGGACUGAGACACGGCCCAGACUCCUACGGGAGGCAGCAGUAGGGAAUCUUCGGCAAUAGACGGAAGUCUGACCGAGCAACGCCGCGUGAGUGAAGAAGGUUUUCGGAUCGUAAAGCUCUGUUGUAAGAGAAGAACGAGUGUGAGAGUGGAAAGUUCACACUGUGACGGUAUCUUACCAGAAAGGGACGGCUAACUACGUG